AUCCUUUCAUGGUUCUUAAGUGUGAUGAAUGCAUUUUCAUGCUCAUGUGUGAGAUAUGCCUCUCUGGAACCUUGUUACCAUGCGGGCACAUUACCUGUCUGACA